rnacentral:rRNA from 1 species
CCCGAUUGAUUCUGUCGGCGGUUAUAUGCUUAUCUCAAAGGCUAAGCCAUGCAUGUCUAAGUUCAAAUGGCCUUUAAAGGUGAAACCGCGAACGGCUCAUUAUAACAGCUAUUAUAUACUUGAUCUUGAUGUCCUACGUGGAUAACUGUGGUAAUUCUAGAGCUAAUACAUGCACCAAAGCUCCGAUUUUGUGACGAGCGCAUCUAUUAGAUUAAAACCAAUCGGGUUUCGGCCCGUAAAUUGGUGACUCUGAAUAACUGUAGCUGAUCGCAUGGUCCAGAACCGGCGACGUGUCUAUCAAGUGUCUGCCUUAUCAACUGUCGAUGGUAGUUUAUGUGCCUACCAUGGUUGUAACGGGUAACGGAGAAUAAGGGUUCGACUCCGGAGAGGGAGCCUGAGAAACGGCUACCACAUCCAAGGAAGGCAGCAGGCGCGCAAAUUACCCACUCUCGGCAUGAGGAGGUAGUGACGAAAAAUAACGAGACCGUUCUCUAUGAGGCCGGUUAUCGGAAUGGGUACAAUUUAAACCCGUUAACGAGGAUCUAUGAGAGGGCAAGUCUGGUGCCAGCAGCCGCGGUAAUUCCAGCUCUCAAAGUGUAUAUCGUCAUUGCUGCGGUUAAAAAGCUCGUAGUUGGAUCUGCGCCUCAGGACUUGGUCCGCCCACUGGGCGAGAACUGGGCUCCUGGGCUAGUUCUGCUGGUUUUCCCUACGUUGCCUUCAUCGGUCGCGUAGGGUGGCUAGCGAGUUUACUUUGAAAAAAUUAGAGUGCUUCACGCGGGCUUAUGUCUGAAUACUCGUGCAUGGAAUAAUAGAAUAGGAUCUCGGUUCUAUUUUGUUGGUUUUCUGAUCUGAGAUAAUGGUUAAGAGGGACGGACGGGGGCAUUCGUAUCGCUGCGUGAGAGGUGAAAUUCUUGGACCGUAGCGAGACAUCCGACUGCGAAAGCAUUUGCCAAGAAUGUCUUCAUUAAUCAAGAACGAAAGUCAGAGGUUCGAAGGCGAUCAGAUACCGCCCUAGUUCUGACCGUAAACGAUACCAACUAGCGUUCCGUCGGCGGUAAAUACGCCUUGACGGGCAGCUUCCCGGAAACGAAAGUCUUUCGGUUCCGGGGGAAGUAUGGUUCAAAGCCG